AGAGUUUGAUCCUGGCUCAGAGUGAACGCUGGCGGCGUGGAUUAGGCAUGCAAGUCGAGCGAUCUUUCAUUUUUUUUGAAGUGGUAGCAAUACUGUUUCAAGAGAAAUGUUUGAUAGCGGCAAACUGGUGAGUAACGCGUGAGUAACUUACCUCUAAAUCGGAUAUAGCCUGGCGAAAGUCAGGGUAAUCUCUGAUGUGUCCAAUUUCCCAUAAGGGGUUUUGGGUAAAGUUAGCCCGCAAGGGCUGAUGUUUAGAGAUGGACUCGCGUCCUAUCAGCUAGUUGGUAGGGUAAUGGCCUACCAAGGCAUUUGACGGGUAGCUGGCCUGAGAGGGUGGUCAGCCACACGGGGACUGAGAUACUGCCCCGACUCCUACGGGAGGCUGCAGUCGAGGAUCUUUAGCAAUGGGCGAAAGCCUGACUAUGCGACGCCGCGUGAGGGAUGAAGGUUUUCGGAUCGUAAACCUCUUUCGAUAGGGAAGAAAAAUUUUAUCAUAACAUGGUAAAAACUGACGGUACCUAUAGAAGAAGCCACGGCCAACUCCGUGCCAGCAGCCGCGGUAAUACGGAGGUGGCGAGCGUUACUCGGAUUCAUUGGGUGUAAAGGGCAGGUAGGUGGCUAUGUAAGUUGGGGGUGAAAUCCUUUGGCUCAACCAAAGAACUGCCUUCAAAACUGCAUAGCUUGAGGCUGAAAGAAGAGAGCGGAAUUCCCGGUGUAAGGGUGAAAUCUGUAGAUAUCGGGAGGAACACCAGUGGCGAAAGCGGCUCUCCGGUUCGGUCCUGACACUGAUCUGCGAAAGCUAGGGGAGCAAACAGGAUUAGAUACCCUGGUAGUCC
rnacentral:rRNA from 1 species